GUACACGCUGUGACUAGCAUAUCAAUAAGCGGAGGAAAAGAAACUAACAAGGAUUCCCCUAGUAACGGCGAGUGAAGCGGGAAGAGCUCAAAUUUGAAAUCUUAAAGGGUUUCCCUUUACGAAUUGUAGUUUAAAGAAGUGUUUUCUGUUGAGGUUUUGGUAAAAGGUUCUUUGGAAUAGGACAUCAUAGAGGGUGAGAAUCCCGUAUUUGACCUUUACUUUCAACUUUGUGAUACACUUUCAAAGAGUCGGAUUGUUUGGGAAUGCAGUCCAAAAUGGGUGGUAAAUUUCAUCUAAAGCUAAAUAUUGGCGAGAGACCGAUAGCGAACAAGUACCGUGAGGGAAAGAUGAAAAGAACUUUGAAAAGAGAGUUAAACAGUACGUGAAAUUGUCAAAAGGGAAGCGUUUGACACCAGUGUUGUUUUUCUGAAGAUCAAUUAAAGAACUGUUUAUGCUAAGUUGUUUAGACUUUAUCAGCUAACUGUUUAGUUUUGAGCUUUUCUUUAAUGCACUUUUCAGUUAACAAGUCAACAUCAAUUUCUUUUGCUGUAAAAAAGCUUGAGGAAGGUGGCUUGAGAUUCGUCUUAAGUGUUUAUAGCCUCUUGCCUAUGCAGUCGGAGAGAUUGAGGUCUGCAGCGUAGAUCCUUCGGGGCUAAAUGCAUUUGUGCUAAGUUAUAGCAUUUUAUAGACAACUUGUUGACUAUGAUUUGUCUUGUAGCUUACUCGCUUAUGUUAUUUUACCUACGCUUAGGAUGUUGAAGAUGUAGCACAUCAU
rnacentral:rRNA from 1 species